GCCCGCCCGGGGGGCGCGGCGCGGCCGCUCUCCCACCGAACCUUCUGAUAGUAUACCUUUACCGUCUGAGCAAAACCACUGAAUCGUUAAAACUUUCAACAACGGAUCUCUUGGUUCUGGCAUCGAUGAAGAACGCAGCGAACUGCGAUAAGUAAUGCGAAUUGCAGAAUUCAGCGAGCCAUCGAAUCUUUGAACGCACAUUGCGCCCGCCAGCAUUCUGGCGGGCAUGCCUGUCCGAGCGUCAUUUCCUCCCUCACGCGGCGCGCCUGCGUGGUGUUGGGGCGUUCUGCGGCCGGGCCUGCGCCCAGCAGGCCUCCGCAGCCCCCGAAAGCCAGCGGCGGGCCGGCAGCUGGCUCCGAGCGCAGUAAGCAGCAGUGCCCUCGCUCUGGACGCCUCCGCCUGCGCCCUGCCCCAAAUGACCGGCAGACGCAAGUCUGUCCCUCCUUUCUCUCAAGG
rnacentral:sRNA from 1 species